CGACCUGGCGGCAUGCCUAUAAUGCAAGUCGAGCGAAUGACGAAGAAGCUUGCUUCUUCUGAUUUAGCGGCGGACGGGUGAGUAACACGUGGGCAACCUGCCCUGUAGAUUGGGAUAACUCCGGGAAACCGGGGCUAAUACCGAAUAAUCCAUUUCCUCUCAUGGGGAGAUGUUAAAAGACGGCAUCUCGCUGUCACUACAGGAUGGGCCCGCGGCGCAUUAGCUAGUUGGUGAGGUAACGGCUCACCAAGGCGACGAUGCGUAGCCGACCUGAGAGGGUGAUCGGCCACACUGGGACUGAGACACGGCCCAGACUCCUACGGGAGGCAGCAGUAGGGAAUCUUCCACAAUGGACGAAAGUCUGAUGGAGCAAUGCCGCGUGAGUGAAGAAGGUUUUCGGAUCGUAAAACUCUGUUGUGAGGGAAGAACAAGUACGAGAGUAACUGCUCGUACCUUGACGGUACCUCAUUAGAAAGCCACGGCUAACUACGUGCCAGCAGCCGCGGUAAU
rnacentral:rRNA from 1 species